GACGAACGCUGGCGGCGCGCCUAACACAUGCAAGUCGAACGAGCGAGAGAGAGCUUGCUUUCUCGAGCGAGUGGCGAACGGGUGAGUAACGCGUGAGGAACCUGCCUCAAAUAGGGGGACAACAGUUGGAAACGACUGCUAAUACCGCAUAAGCCCACGGUGCCGCAUGGCACAGAGGGAAAAGGAGCAAUCCGCUUUGAGAUGGCCUCGCGUCCGAUUAGCUAGUUGGUGAGGUAAUGGCCCACCAAGGCGACGAUCGGUAGCCGGACUGAGAGGUUGAACGGCCACAUUGGGACUGAGACACGGCCCAGACUCCUACGGGAGGCAGCAGUGGGGAAUAUUGCACAAUGGGGGAAACCCUGAUGCAGCGACGCCGCGUGGAGGAAGAAGGUCUUCGGAUUGUAAACUCCUGUUGUUGGGGAAGAUAAUGACGGUACCCAACAAGGAAGUGACGGCUAACUACGUG
rnacentral:rRNA from 1 species